rnacentral:tRNA from 1 species
CGCGAGCUUCCUCGGGUUGCAGGGUAUCGUGGUUAAAAGCCACGGAUCUGCGGGGGUGCAGGGCUUCCAGAGUGCGA